UACAGAGGGUGCAAGCGUUAAUCGGAAUUACUGGGCGUAAAGCGCACGUAGGCGGCUUUGUAAGUUAGAGGUGAAAGCCCGGGGCUCAACUCCGGAACUGCCUUUAAGACUGCAUCGCUUGAAUCAUGGAGAGGUUAGUGGAAUUCCGAGUGUAGAGGUGAAAUUCGUAGAUAUUCGGAAGAACACCAGUGGCGAAGGCGACUAACUGGACAUGUAUUGACGCUGAGGUGCGAAAGCGUGGGGAGCAAACAGG
rnacentral:rRNA from 1 species